rnacentral:tmRNA from 1 species
GGGGGUGACUGGUUUCGACUUGGGACGGUAGUCCCAGGAGAAGCGGGCCGAGGAUCGGGGACAUCUCGUUAACGAUUCCCGAAAACCAAUAAGUGCCGAUUCCAAGCGCACUGACUUCGCUCUCGCUGCCUGAGCAGUGACCGAAGGGUCAGUCCGGAUGUGCCUUCCGUCCGGAUCCUGGCCUCAUUUUGGAGGCUUACCUGUGCAGUCUCGUUCCAGGGCUGUGCGGGGAAACUUAUGGAACUGGGCUUGUUCACCACUUGCCGAUGAGAGGGUGAGAGCCAAGCAGAACGCCUAGUCGGCUGCGCCCGGAGAAGUCCUGGUUCACCUCUUGAGGACGCGGGUUCGACUCCCGCCACCUCCACCA